GUGAGGAAUAUUGGUCAAUGGACGCAAGUCUGAACCAGCCAUGCCGCGUGCAGGAUGAAGGUGCUAUGCAUUGUAAACUGCUUUUGUACGAGGGUAAAUGCAGGUACGUGUACCUGUUUGAAAGUAUCGUACGAAUAAGGGUCGGCUAACUCCGUGCCAGCAGCCGCGGUAAUACGGAGGACCCGAGCGUUAUCCGGAUUUAUUGGGUUUAAAGGGUGCGUAGGCGGAUUAGUAAGUUAGAGGUGAAAGCUCGAUGCUCAACAUCGAAAUUGCCUCUGAUACUGUUAGUCUAGAGUAUAGUUGCGGAAGGCGGAAUGUGUGGUGUAGCGGUGAAAUGCUUAGAUAUCACACAGAACACCGAUUGCGAAGGCAGCUUUCCAAGCUAUUACUGACGCUGAUGCACGAAAGCGUGGGGAGCGAACAGG
rnacentral:rRNA from 1 species